ensembl:lncRNA
AUAGCCUUUAAACACAGUGUUCAGACUUUAUCGGUCCAACAGAGUCGGUAAACAAGUUUGUAACCCGACAAAGCAGUGGAGAUAAUUACAGCCGAGUCCGUCCGUCUGUCUGUUUCCUGACAUCGUGUUUUAAAAGCAGCCUGACAAAAACAUGGCGGCUUCAUGUUGACAGUGGCGGUAAAUAAACACCACUUGUCUGUCCUGAUUGCACGACGCAGAACGAAGCCGCUGCACUCCGGCGACCUUUUUUCACGGAGAAGACAAUUCAGCGGGGAGCGUUUUAACAGAUCUCAAAGUUUAAUCGCCUCCAUUUUGAAGUUUCUUCCUUUAAUUGACACCUUCGUCGUCGCUAAAACGCUCCUCCCUGAUCCCCAGAGGAGCAGAUUAAACACCGUUUCAGCUGCAGCUCGUCUUUGAGGAGUUCGACUGCGAUCUUGAAAGCAGAUUAGAGUUUAGAAGUGAGAGUAACCCGCCGACUUCUUCUCCCAACUUGAAAGGAACCUCAGUUUUCCUGCUGCAGUCAUAGCGUUGUCGUGGUAACCGCCACCAAAUGGCGCCAUCAGCUCUGGGCUCUAAUUGGCUCGGCGGCGCUGCCAGCAGCGAUCACCUGUCACAGGAAACCACGGCUGCACCUGUUUACACGUCUGUCGCAGGAGGUCGCCCACGACAACCAAGGUCACAUGUCCUCAGAGGGAGGUCCUGAGGGGCGUCUUCACCUGGACAGGAACAGGAUGGACGAACUCAUCAUCAUUUAUUCCAUUUAAAUAAGAAAAACAAACACCUGACCUGCUCAGAAUCAACUGGUUUUAUGUCCAGUAAUCUCAGUUUAUUUAAUGAAGUCAUGCAAACUUUUACCUUCAUACUGUGGAUGUUUUAAGUUUCAGAGGAGGAUCUGAACUGAUGUGUAAUCUUGGUGUCCAACAGUUGUCUUAAUGAACCUGGAGUCACAUUUUGAUGCCAGUUAUUAGCUGUAAUUUAACAAAACACAGGAAAAUCUGUAAAAUAACAGUUUUUCUCCCUAAAAUACAUAAUGUUUCUUUUGAAGACCGAAAUUUUAUACUGGAUGGAAAUACAGGAAAAUUGUUUAAACUGAUCGUCCUGUUCCC